rnacentral:rRNA from 1 species
GCUGGCGGCGUGCCUAACACAUGCAAGUCGAACGAGAAAGUGGAGCAAUCCAUGAGUAAAGUGGCGACCGGGUGAGUAACACGUGACUAACCUACCCUCGAGUGGGGAAUAACUCCGGGAAACCGGGGCUAAUACCGCAUAACAUCGCAAGAUCAAAGCAGCAAUGCGCUUGAGGAGGGGGUCGCGGCUGAUUAGCUAGUUGGCGGGGUAACGGCCCACCAAGGCGAAGAUCGGUAUCCGGCCUGAGAGGGCGCACGGACACACUGGAACUGAAACACGGUCCAGACUCCUACGGGAGGCAGCAGUGGGGAAUUUUGCGCAAUGGGGGAAACCCUGACGCAGCAACGCCGCGUGGAGGAUGAAGCCCUUUGGGGCGUAAACUCCUUUCGACUCGGACGAUAAUGACGGUACGAGUGGAAGAAGCACCGGCUAACUCUGUGC